rnacentral:lncRNA from 1 species
AGAGCCCGGCCUCCGGCUGGGGCCACCCAGGCAACCGAUAUACACAGAGAACCACGUGGAGGAAAAGCACGCGAGUUUGGAGCGGGUGGAGCAGGAACAGAGGUGGACUGGAAUGUCACACGACGGGGCAGCUGGAAGGGCACCACUGAGUUCAGUACUUCAAAAUUGCCGUGCUCUACCUCUCCCCAGUGCACAAAAACACUCUCCACACCAAGCUGCUGCUGCUGGGGGAUGGAGGGAUGGCGUCAGCGAUUCAAGACUGUUUUUCCUACCUGUUCAGCACUUCUUUCAGCGAUAUGAAGUUAAAUCCAGAUGUCGUCAUCAUCCACUUGUUCAAACAAGAGCCCAAGGAUCAUCCUAGAUUCCUUCUCACUUCCUCUCAAUCCAUCCCUGAAACAGCCAAACCACCAGUGGAGUUUCGCUCUUGUUGUCCAGGCUGGAGUGCAGUGGCAUGGUCUCAGCUCACUGCAACCAAAGCUCCCGGGUUCAAGUGAUUCUCCUGCCUCAGCCUCCUGAGUAGCUGGGAUUACAGGCAUGUGCCACCACACCCAGCUAAUUUUUGUAUUUUUAGUAGAGAUGGGGUUUACCAUGUUGGCCAGGCUGGUCUCAAACACCUGACUUCAAGUGAUCCACCUGCCUUGACCUCUCAAAGUGCUGGGAUUACAGGUGUGAACCACCAUGCCCAGCCUCUGUUGACUUUCAACUAUGGAAAAUGUGGUUUUAGCUUUCUUAUAUGCCCAUUUUCUCCUUCACCAAAUACAUACACUUAACCUUUUCCCAUCCUCCAA